rnacentral:lncRNA from 1 species
CUUGCCUUGCCUCACCGCGCCUUGGAUUUACCUGAGGAAUUGCUAGACCUGACUGUAAUGCACUUUGGAUUCCCCUGAGUCCAUACAUUAUUUGUUCCAGCUUGGUUCAGCUAGGUACCCUGUACCUGAUCACAAUUCCUUUUCCUUACAAAUCCUGCUGCUGCUAACAGCAGCAGUGCUUUGUCUUUACGAUCUGCUCUUCAGAGCUCAGUACAGUGGUUCAUAUCAGAGAGAAAAUCAGGGAGACAAAUGUAGUAUACUUUUUGCUGAAAUUGCCAUUAAAGGAGAGAAGCAGGAGAGCCUGAGUGCUGGCAUAGCCAGAGCCAGGAGGGGCCAGAGAUAACCUGACCAUCAUGAAAUGAUCACUGGCUCUUCUGCCUCUCAUUUCUCCUUUGAUAGUGACGGUAAUAAACCACAGACAGAACGUGGGAUUAUCCACUUAGCUCUGUUCUUCCCGACUCCUGAGUGAGAUGAAAGCCUCAGCCACAAUCCUGAGCCUUCAAGAAGAAAUUAGGCAACUUGAUCUUAUUUCAAAGGACACCAGACUUAAUGGGGCAUGUGACCUUUCUCAAAACAUCUUUGAAUUACUGGGCAACAUUUCUGAACUCUACAGAAGUGCAUGCAAGCAAAAACGUGAACACGGUGGUCUGAUUUUGAGCUCAGUCAUGCAGAUUUGA